UGGCUAGUGAGUUGUUAAUUGAGUCAGGCUUCUGAAAGACCUUUCAUUGUGGGCUAUUGAUGAUAGAUGUGUUGUGACUCUGAAGGUCAGACAUCUGUGCAAUGUGUAUUGUGCAGGUAAAUGACUUAUUGUUGGAGACGUAACAUCUGGGGGAUAAUUAACUCAUCUAUGUAAUUAUCUAAAAUAAUGUGAUUGAAGCUCAUCGUGUGUAUGGGUGGGGUGUGGUUUUGUUCCUUUAAGUACCGUAACAUGCUUAUCAGAAGGUAACAUAAGUACACUUACCAAGGCCAAGAUGCUGAGGGCGGCUCCCUUUGUGACCUGGCGCGGUCCGCCCCCUGGAGUGAGGACAGGGGGAAAGACGCACCAGGAGGCACUGGUACCGACAGGAAGGUGGUGGCCGGGUGCGUGGAACAGGGCCAAUCAGGAAGCAGACCGCUGGAAGUAGCCGGGAAGCACACCGGGAAGAUCCUGGAGGUCCGGGAACGGAAGUAGCAGAGGGUAAUCCGGAAGACAGGCUGUGGUCAAGGGGGCACGGAGAGCAGGAUAGUCCAAAGUUCAAGCCAAUAGGUCAAGGGCAGGUGAGAUCAAGCAGUCCAGUAAACAAGCCGAGGUCCAAGGUUAGGAGGAAACAGCAAUCCGGGAAACAGAGCCAAGGUCAGGUAAUCAGGAACAAACAAGGUAAGUUUUCACAAUCCAGGAAUACACCAACGAUUGCUGUGACAAGCCAGCAACCAGCCAGG